AACGUAGGUACCGAGCGUUAUCCGGAUUCACUGGGCGUAAAGCGCGUGCAGGUGGUUUGGUAAGUCGGGCAUGAAAACUCUUGGCUCAACUGAGAGAUGCUGUCCGAUACUGCCAGACUUGAGGGUGUGAGAGGGAGGUGGAAUUCCGCGUGUAGUGGUGAAAUGCGUAGAUAUGCGGAGGAACACCAGUGGCGAAGGCGGCCUCCUGGCACACUCCUGACACUCAGACGCGAAAGCUAGGGGAGCGAACGGG
rnacentral:rRNA from 1 species